rnacentral:rRNA from 1 species
UACGUAGGGCGCGAGCGUUGUCCGGAUUUAUUGGGCGUAAAGAGCUCGUAGGUGGUUCGGUAAGUCAGGUGUGAAACCUCCAGGCUCAACCUGGAGACGCCACUUGAUACUGCUGUGACUGGAGUCCGGUAGGGGAGCGUGGAAUUCCUGGUGUAGCGGUGAAAUGCGCAGAUAUCAGGAGGAACACCAGCGGCGAAGGCGGCGCUCUGGGCCGGGUACUGACGCUGAGACGCGAAAGCGUGGGGAGCAAACAGG